rnacentral:rRNA from 1 species
UACGUAGGGGGCAAGCGUUGUCCGGAUUUAUUGGGCGUAAAGAGCGUGUAGGCGGCUUGGUAGGUCCGCUGUGAAAACUUGAGGCUCAACCUCAAGCUGUCGGCGGAAACUGUCAGGCUAGAGUCCGGAAGAGGAGAGUGGAAUUCCUGGUGUAGCGGUGAAAUGCGCAGAUAUCAGGAAGAACACCUAUGGCGAAGGCAGCUCUCUGGGACGGUACUGACGCUGAGACGCGAAAGCGUGGGGAGCGAACAGG